UUGGAGGCCUUGCUGUUCGGAGGUAUGUUGCAAAUAUCAGGAUUAUACGCAUAAGUUCUGCUGAUAUUACAUAAAAUUGAUCUUUUUAUUGACAUUUAUAACUGUUCUUCAUGAUACUUCAUGAUGUUGUUUAUUUGUUGUUCUUUAUGCUACUUAAAUAUUAUGCCACAUAAAGUUGUGUUGUUUUAUGGUCUUUCAUGCUAUUUGAUGUUGUUUAUCUGCUUGGUCUGCCUAUCUUCAUUGCACCUUGGUGUGCCUCAUAUGGUUUAAAUUAUCAACCAUUGAGUCUGUUCGUUUUCACUUUGUUAAUUUUCUGAGGAGUUUCUGGUAAUCCACUAACUUAAUCUUCGUUGACAAUUUUCUCUUGACCAAGUCAUCUUUACAGCGAGUUGGUUUUCUACAAAUACCAUCUCUUGUCUGAGGAUGACAAUAUCUGUUAAUGCGAUCUAUCUUUCAAAACCCAAGGAAUAAUGGCCAUAUUCCUUGUAUAGUAUCUUAGAUGGUAAAUGUUAAUUAUCUAUCAUUGAUCAUCUAUUUUUAGUCU
rnacentral:misc_RNA from 1 species